GAUGAACGCUGGCGGCGUGCCUAAUACAUGCCAGUCGAGCGAACAGACGAGGAGCUUGCUCCUCUGACGUUAGCGGCGGACGGGUGAGUAACACGUGGAUAACCUACCUAUAAGACUGGGAUAACUUCGGGAAACCGGAGCUAAUACCGGAUAAUAUAUUGAACCGCAUGGUUCAAUAGUGAAAGACGGUUUUGCUGUCACUUAUAGAUGGAUCCGCGCCGCAUUAGCUAGUUGGUAAGGUAACGGCUUACCAAGGCAACGAUGCGUUGCCGACCUGAGAGGGUGAUCGGCCACACUGGAACUGAGACACGGUCCAGACUCCUACGGGAGGCAGCAGUAGGGAAUCUUCCGCAAUGGGCGAAAGCCUGACGGAGCAACGCCGCGUGAGUGAUGAAGGUCUUCGGAUCGUAAAACUCUGUUAUUAGGGAAGAACAAAUGUGUAAGUAACUAUGCACGUCUUGACGGUACCUAAUCAGAAAGCCACGGCUAACUACGUG
rnacentral:rRNA from 1 species